rnacentral:tRNA from 1 species
GGCUGUGUGGUCUAGUGGUAUGAUUCUCGCUUCGGGUGCGAGAGGUCUCAAGUCCGAUUCUCGACUCAGCCC